UACGUAGGGUGCAAGCGUUGUCCGGAAUUAUUGGGCGUAAAGAGCUCGUAGGCGGUUUGUCGCGUCGAAUGUGAAAACCCGGGGCUCAACCAUGUGGUCUGCAGUCGAUACGGGCAGGCUAGAAUUCGGUAGGGGAGACUGGAAUUCCUGGUGUAGCGGUGAAAUGCGCAGAUAUCAGGAGGAACACCGAUGGCGAAGGCAGGUCUCUGGGCCAUUACUGACACUGAGAAGCGAAAGCAUGGGGAGCGAACAGG
rnacentral:rRNA from 1 species